rnacentral:tRNA from 1 species
GUGUGGAGCCUGAAAUUAAAGGAAUAUCUUGAUGUGAUAAAAUUUGUAAAUACUUACCUACACU